GAUGAACGCUGGCGGCGUGCCUAAUACAUGCAAGUCGAGCGAACAGACGAGGAGCUUGCUCCUCUGACGUUAGCGGCGGACGGGUGAGUAACACGUGGAUAACCUACCUAUAAGACUGGGAUAACUUCGGGAAACCGGAGCUAAUACCGGAUAAUAUAUUGAACCGCAUGGUUCAAUAGUGAAAGACGGUUUUGCUGUCACUUAUAGAUGGAUCCGCGCCGCAUUAGCUAGUUGGUAAGGUAACGGCUUACCAAGGCAACGAUGCGUAGCCGACCUGAGAGGUGGAUCGGCAACCCGGAACCUGAAACACGGUCCAAACUCCAAGGGAGGCAGCAGUAGGGAAUCUUCCGCAAUGGGCGAAAGCCUGACGGAGCAACGCCGCGUGAGUGAUGAAGGUCUUCGGAUCGUAAAACUCUGUUAUUAGGGAAGAACAAAUGUGUAAGUAACUAUGCACGUCUUGACGGUACCUAAUCAGAAAGCCACGGCUAACUACGUG
rnacentral:rRNA from 1 species